rnacentral:lncRNA from 1 species
GCAGUACGAACUGCUCGUGUAGAGAAGCAAACUUUGCCACUACUUUUCCUGUCGCCUUUUUUUAUAGAAUGCUGUAACUCCCAGUGCUUUAUGAUGUCUCACGUUAAGGACAGUUUGUAACGUGUUCAGCAGGAUGGUGAUUUACUCAAAGCUGGCUUCAUUGCCUCCAGUGAGGUCCUUUCGGGGAUUCCUAGUUUGUGUGCAAAGGGGAAGAAUUUUUGCAAAUCUUGAGUCAUUUUCUAGCAAAUAGGAUUAUCCGUUUCAGGAAUAUAAAGCUUUUUUCCUUCUGUCUUCCUUCCUAAUUGUAUGUGUCAGGUCAUGUUCACUUCUUCUCCAUCCUAUACACUGAACGUGGCAAGCUGACGGAGCCAUGGACCUGCAGACUGCAUGUUUUUGGGAGCACACAGUGCCCAAAGCAUCUCCUGCUGCAAAGCCUUGGAUAUCUGUUUGUCCCAUCCCACUCCCCGCUUGCGAUGGGAUUUUCCAGUUCAUUAUGGUGUAACGGGAUGGCAGCUACAGAGACUAAGGAAAUCAACAUAUGAUCUCAACAACAACAGCUGAGAAGCGCAAUUAAGGACAUCACUCAGAGACACUGCAGCAAACUUCGGUGGAGCAUGAAGAAGGCUCAGAAGUUCACGUAAGUCUGUAUCUUCACAAAUGCAAAUGGCAAAAGUAUCUGUUACCUCUCUAACUCUUUUGGGGCCUUGCUGGGGGCCAGUGUAGUGUGCUGUCCCAGCACGCCAGUGAAGGCAAGCCAGGGGGCCUGCAAGGUGUGUUAGUGCCCAUGGGGCCCUGACAUCACGUGUUAACAUACAUAUUUUCAGGCAUUAUUUUGUUGCACUCUCAGUUCUGUGUGUCUGUAGGUACGCUAACACCUGUUCUGCAUUCCCAAAAUAAGCAGGGCAUUAACUCACCAUGAGGACAGCUCUGCCAGUGGUAAUUGCAUAGCUAUUUUCUGAGUCCCACAAAGGUUGGUAAAGCCAUAAAAAGUUACUAAAGCAUAGCUGAAAUUAUGUAAUGGUGAGCUGA